rnacentral:tRNA from 1 species
GAGGGUGUAGCUCAAUGGUAAGAGUGCAUUCUUAGCACACAGGAGGUCCUGAGUUCAAUCCCCAGUACCUCCA